UGUGGGUUCUCACUAUAAAUCAUUUAUAGCUGCCUUAGAUUCCACUUUACCCAUACCACGUGAUUGGCAGGAAGCCAAACAAUAUCCAGAAUGGAGAGCAGCUAUGAUGGAGGAGAUGAUAGCACUUGACAAGAACCAUACAUGGGCUGAAAAAGUCAUUAUAUGGGUUAAAACAGUCACCUAGAGCAUGGUUUGGACGAUUCCGGAAUGAGAUUUGUUCUAUGGGGUUUAAGCAGAGCAAUGAUGAUGGGGAAAUCGCUCGGUUAAAGAAGGCACUGUCAAGAUCAUUUGAAGUUAAAGACCUGAGAUAUCUUCACUAUUUCCUUGGUAUUGAAGUUGCAUAUGGUGUU